rnacentral:rRNA from 1 species
GACGAACGCUGGCGGCGUGCUUAACACAUGCAAGUCGAACGAUGAACCCGGAGCUUGCUCUGGGGGAUUAGUGGCGAACGGGUGAGUAACACGUGAGUAACCUGCCCUGGACUCUGGGAUAAGCGUUGGAAACGACGUCUAAUACCGGAUAGGACCUUGGAUCGCAUGAUCUGGGGUGGAAAGUUUUUUCGGUCUGGGAUGGACUCGCGGCCUAUCAGCUUGUUGGUGAGGUAAUGGCUCAUCAAGGCGUCGACGGGUAGCCGGCCUGAGAGGGUGACCGGCCACACUGGGACUGAGACACGGCCCAGACUCCUACGGGAGGCAGCAGUGGGGAAUAUUGCACAAUGGGCGAAAGCCUGAUGCAGCAACGCCGCGUGCGGGAUGACGGCCUUCGGGUUGUAAACCGCUUUUAGUAGGGAAGAAGGGCUUCGGCUUGACGGUACCUGCAGAAAAAGGACCGGCUAACUACGUG